UCAAUUUUAGAAUAAGGCUGUAACGUAAAACAAAAUGUGGAAAAAGUCAAGGGGUCUGAAUACUUCCCGAAGGCACAGUAAGUACUGAUACUAAGACAGUCAUUACCUCAGUCAUUUCAAACAGUUUCUCUAUUCUUCUGGAGAGAACCAAUGGACUACUGUUAUGUAGUGUUUCACCAUAGAACCGCUUUGAAAUGGAGGACCCGGAUCCUCUUGAAGACGUCCUAACUCUAAAACGAGUCAGUUUCCCAGACCCACGUUAAGCCUAGUCCUGGACUUAAUGGAAUAUCUCAAUUUUUUUUAAACCCAGGACUCGGCUGGAGUAGGGUGGUUAACCCUAGACAGGACUCGGCUGGAGUAGGGUGGUUAACCCUAUCCAGGACUCGGCUGGAGUAGGGUGGUUAACCCUAUCCAGGACUCGGCUGGAGUAGGGUGGUUAACCCUAGACACUGAUCUGGGGUCAUUUUUUGUAUUUCCCCACUAAUAACUAGGAUUGGGGGAGGGGAAGCUGACCCUAGGGGAAACUUCAUCCCGGAGCAGGCUUAAUCUGGGACUAGGAAACCAGCCGAAAAGGACACCCCUGUACAAGGAGGAGGUUGAAGACCCAGUAACCAUAAUGACACCCCUGUACUAGGAGGGAGAAGACCCAGUAACUAUAAUGACACCCCUGUACUAGGAGGGAGAAGACCCAGUAAC